AGAGUUUGAUCCUGGCUCAGGACGAACGCUGGCGGCGUGCUUAACACAUGCAAGUCGAACGGUAAGGCCCUUUCGGGGGUACACGAGUGGCGAACGGGUGAGUAACACGUGAGUAACCUGCCCACUUCUUCGGGAUAACGCUAGGAAACUGGUGCUAAUACCGGAUAUGAGCUCCUGCCGCAUGGUGGGGGUUGGAAAGUGUUUGUGGUGGUGGAUGGACUCGCGGCCUAUCAGCUUGUUGGUGAGGUAGUGGCUCACCAAGGCGGUGACGGGUAGCCGGCCUGAGAGGGUGACCGGCCACAUUGGGACUGAGAUACGGCCCAGACUCCUACGGGAGGCAGCAGUGGGGAAUAUUGCACAAUGGGCGGAAGCCUGAUGCAGCAACGCCGCGUGCGGGAUGACGGCCUUCGGGUUGUAAACCGCUUUCACCAGGGGCGAAGGCAUUCUUUUGGGGUGUUGACGGUACCUGGAGAAGAAGCACCGGCUAACUACGUGCCAGCAGCCGCGGUGAUACGUAGGGUGCGAGCGUUGUCCGGAUUUAUUGGGCGUAAAGGGCUCGUAGGCGGUUGAUCGCGUCGGAAGUGAAAACUUGGGGCUUAACCCUGAGCGUGCUUUCGAUACGGGUUGACUUGAGGAAGGUAGGGGAGAAUGGAAUUCCUGGUGGAGCGGUGGAAUGCGCAGAUAUCAGGAGGAACACCAGUGGCGAAGGCGGUUCUCUGGACCUCUCCUGACGCUGAGGAGCGAAAGCGUGGGGAGCGAACAGGCUUAGAUACCCUGGUAGUCCACGCUGUAAACGGUGGGUACUAGGUGUGGGGUCCAUUCCACGGAUUCCGUGCCGUAGCUAACGCAUUAAGUACCCCGCCUGGGGAGUACGGCCGCAAGGCUAAAACUCAAAGGAAUUGACGGGGCCCCGCACAAGCGGCGGAGCAUGCGGAUUAAUUCGAUGCAACGCGAAGAACCUUACCUGGGUUUGACAUGGAUUGGUAACGGUCAGAGAUGGCCGCCCCCCUUGUGGGCCGGUUCACAGGUGGUGCAUGGCUGUCGUCAGCUCGUGUCGUGAGAUGUUGGGUUAAGUCCCGCAACGAGCGCAACCCCUAUCUUAUGUUGCCAGCACGUAAUGGUGGGAACUCAUGAGAGACC
rnacentral:rRNA from 1 species